AAGUGUGUGGCAGAAAGAAGCAGUUCACAUCCUGACGAUCAAGAAGCAGAGAGAGACUCCACCCUCUAGAUACAAAUAUAUACACCAAAGCCUCACUCCAAUUCACACCUUCUUUAGCCACACCUUACCACUUUAGUUAAUCCCAUCAUUAACUCACUGAUUAGGCUGAGGCUAUAAUCCUGUCAUUACUCCUCCAAAGCUUGUUGCAUUAUCUCACAUGUGAGCUUUUGGAGGACACUACAUUUAAAACCUAACACUCACUUCAGUUGCUAUAGACACUGACACAGCCCUCUGAACUCUAUUAUUCUGUCUUGGAACCUUUGUUUCAGAGUGGUCUGCACUGACUUGGACAGUCAAGUUUUCUUACAAGUUUUGUCACAGUAAUCUACCUGUUGGUCAGAGAGUGGCCAUAAAGGGCUUCCUGGGGGACAUUCACAAAUCCAUCUUCAUGGUUUAGACAAAAUUGUGAUAACAACUAGAAACAAUUUGAUGUGCACUCAUCUUCAAGGAAAUUAUUUUGUGAAUCUUUAUUCAUGAGAAUUAUAUGAGAUAAUAUGGUUUUCAAAGAAUGUGUUUUAACUACAUGUCAUGAUAAUGGUUUGAUAUUUGUGUUUCCUCAUUUUAUGGCAGCUUUGGUAUAUCCACUUGUUUUGUGUUUUAUUGACUUAUUCUCAUUAUUACUGUGCUGUUUAUUAAAUAAUAGAGGAUUGUUCUGUGGGUACAAAUUGUCCCUGAAAAUGUAUAUUACUUUAGAAACUUCAACAAUAUUUUUAGACAUAGAGCAAAUGAACGUUAAUAAGUUUGUAGUGUUUAAUUUCAUUUAAUAUGUUAUGAGUUAGAAAAGUUACAUAAUUGAGCACUGACUAUAUCCAACAUAGAGUUGUUUCUUUAGUUUUUCAAUUCUUUUUACAAAAGCAAAAAUAUCUUGAAGAAUUUUGUGGUCUUGAAACUUUCAUGAAUUGAAUGAUCAUGUUAAUAUGAUAUUAUACUUUAUAUUUUGCUUAUUGGCCUUUGCCCAUUAAUUUCCAGCUGACUUCCAUAGCAGUUGACACAUUGUUGUUCUGGGAACACAUUGUUGUUAACGGUUGGAAGAUACAUAAUACAGCAAAAAAUAAGUGGUUUGUGUGCAUGGCAAAAGCACCUGAAGAAAAGCAUGAGAAGUUUGAAGCUAUUUUGAAAGAAAGAGAACAACAAAAGGUCUAAAACUAGGAAUGGAGCAAGUCACCUGAGUAAUGAUCUCUGAACAGGGUGAGAAACUUUAUAAAAUGAUGUGCAAACAAGGAAAUCUGAUGAAAGACAGAUAAAGGAAAUUGAAUAUGUUCCCUAAAUUCUUCCUUGGAAGGUAGGGUUGGUAAUCUGGGUGCAUAUACUUCUUUAUGUUUACCCUCUCACAUGUUAACUUUAAUUAUUUUUUUAUAGUUUUUUAAAAUAUUUUUUUUUAUUUUUUAAAAGUAAAUCGUACAUUACAGGAAAAAAAAACACAAGCAAAGAACAAAGCCAUCCCAUCACAAGAAGCUUAGUUGGACGUGUCCCUCUAAGUUGUGUGCAUAUAUACACAAUAUCCCAUUUUGAUAAAGAUUGUGGUGUGUGUUAUGCUAUUCCACACAUCAUGAAUAUUCACCAAUUCAAAAUUCCAAAGCUACAUGAGUAUUUUUUGAUAACCAAGAAUACACUGCACCAACUCAAUCUGUUAUCCUUUCUUGGGGACAAAAAAUUCACUGAAGACAGAAAUGGCAACAGGCCUCUAUAUAGACAUAUUGGCAGAGUUACAACUAAAACAAUUAAUUCCCUUAAUGCUCAAUUUAAAAUGAAACAGCAACAGAAUACACCAAGCUUGUUUCACUAACAGAUUUUUACUACUAAAAUAUUAUCAAGAAUGCAUGUUCCCAGUGAAUUAAAAUAUUCCUAUAGUACAGCCAGAAGAUGCACACACACCAGUGGCUCACAU